rnacentral:rRNA from 1 species
GCGCGCGCAGGUGGUUUCUUAAGUCUGAUGUGAAAGCCCACGGCUCAACCGUGGAGGGUCAUUGGAAACUGGGAGACUUGAGUGCAGAAGAGGAAAGUGGAAUUCCAUGUGUAGCGGUGAAAUGCGUAGAGAUAUGGAGGAACACCAGUGGCGAAGGCGACUUUCUGGUCUGUAACUGACACUGAGGCGCGAAAGCGUGGGGAGCAAACAGGAUUAAAUACCCUGGUAGUCCACGCCGUAAACGAUGAGUGCUAACUGUUAGAGGGUUUCCGCCCUUUACUGCUGAAGUUAACGCAUUAAGCACUCCGCCUGGGGAGUACAGCCGCAACGCUGAAACUCAAAUGAAUUGACGGGAGCCCGCACCAGCGGUGGAGCAUGUGGUUUAAUU